rnacentral:piRNA from 1 species
ACAGCCCCUGUCAUCACAGGAUAAUGUC